rnacentral:tRNA from 1 species
CAGGGUAUAGCUCAAUUUGGAAGAGCGUUCGCUUUGGGAGCGAAAGGCUAUAGGUUCAAGUCCUAUUACUCUGA